rnacentral:rRNA from 1 species
CCUACGGGACGCAGCAGUGGGGAAUAUUGGACAAUGGGGGGAACCCUGAUCCAGCGACGCCGCGUGAGUGAAGAAGUAUUUCGGUAUGUAAAGCUCUAUCAGCAGGGAAGAAAAUGACGGUACCUGACUAAGAAGCCCCGGCUAACUACGUGCCAGCAGCCGCGGUAAUACGUAGGGGGCAAGCGUUAUCCGGAAUCACUGGGUGUAAAGGGAGCGUAGACGGCUGAGCAAGCCUGAAGUGAAAGGCGGGGGCCCAACCCCCGGACUGCUUUGGGAACUGUACGGCUGGAGUGCAGGAGAGGUAA